GAUGAACGCUGGCGGCGUGCCUAAUACAUGCAAGUCGAGCGAACAGACGAGGAGCUUGCUCCUCUGACGUUAGCGGCGGACGGGUGAGUAACACGUGGAUAACCUACCUAUAAGACUGGGAUAACUUCGGGAAGCCGGAGCUAAUACCGGAUAAUAUAUUGAACCGCAUGGUUCAAUAGUGAAAGACGGUUUUGCUGUCACUUAUAGAUGGAUCCGCGCCGCAUUAGCUAGUUGGUAAGGUAACGGCUUACAAAGGCAACGAUGCGUAGCCGACCUGCGAGGGUGAUCGGCCACACUGGAACUGAGACACGGUCCAGACUCCUACGGGAGGCAGCAGUAGGGAAUCUUCCGCAAAGGGCGAAAGCCUGACGGAGCAACGCCGCGUGAGUGAUGAAGGUCUUCGGAUCGUAAAACUCUGUUAUUAGGGAAGAACAAAUGUGUAAGUAACUAUGCACGUCUUGACGGUACCUAAUCAGAAAGCCACGGCUAACUACGUG
rnacentral:rRNA from 1 species